AAGGAAUAUUGGUCAAUGGGCGCAAGCCUGAACCAGCCAUGCCGCGUGCAGGAAGACGGCCCUACGGGUUGUAAACUGCUUUUGUACCGGAAUAAACCUUUCUUCGUGAAGAGAGCUGAAUGUACGGUAAGAAUAAGGAUCGGCUAACUCCGUGCCAGCAGCCGCGGUAAUACGGAGGAUCCAAGCGUUAUCCGGAUUUAUUGGGUUUAAAGGGUGCGUAGGUGGCCUAUUAAGUCAGGGGUGAAAGACGGUAGCUUAACUAUCGCAGUGCCUUUGAUACUGAUGGGCUUGAAUACAGAUGAAGUGGGCGGAAUGUGACAAGUAGCGGUGAAAUGCAUAGAUAUGUCACAGAACACCGAUUGCGAAGGCAGCUCACUAAAUUGUGAUUGACACUGAGGCACGAAAGCGUGGGGAUCAAA
rnacentral:rRNA from 1 species